UAACGGCGAGCGAAGAGGGAGGAGUCCAGCGCCGAAUCUCACGUCCCUAGCGGGCGAUCGAGAAAUGUGGCGUUUAGGAGGGAGCGCGCCCGUGGUGGCACCGAACAGCAAGUCCCCCUGACUGGGGCUCUUACCCGGAGCGGGUGCGAGGCCCAUAGCUGUCGUGUGCUCCGCGGGACGCGACCUCUUGGGAGUCGGGUUGCUUGGGAGUGCAGCCCUAAGAGGGUGGUAAACUCCACCUAAGACUAAAUACGGCCGCGAGACCGAUAGCAAACAAGUACCGUGAGGGAAAGUUGCAAAGAACUUUGAAGAGAGAGUUCAAGAGUACGUGAAACUGCUCAGAGGUAAACGGGUGGGCCCUCGAAAUCCCCUUGCGGGGGGAUUCAGUCGGGAGGGCGCGGGAUGGCCACAGUCGCCGGUUCGGACGCCGUAGCAGCGUCGGGCCGCGGCCAGAGUCUCGCGUCCCGCCCGACGCACUUCCCCCCGCACUGCGGACGCCGCAGCCCGUUGGGGACCGGCCAUGAGGACGUGCACCGGCAGGUGGCGGGAGGCCUCUCCUCGAGAGUUGGCCACCCGUUGAUAGCCUGCGCGUCUCGGGCGCGGUACCCGACGGAGGUCGAAGUUCCCCAGUUCCGGGGAACGAGCCGUCCCCUCCUAGUCGAGCGAGCACCGUCUCAGGUGUCGGGCGCCGUAGCUUAGACCGCCGACUCACCCCUCCGUGGUGACCGGCGGUGCGCACGCACCGUUGUAGUGACGGGCGUCUCGCCGAGGGACAGCCGACGGCUGGCGGCGAGUAGGUCGGUAACCCACCCGACCCGUCUUGAAACACGGACCAAGGAGUCUAACAUGUGCGCGAGUCAGUGGGUCUUGAUCAGGCCCACGGGCGGAAUGAAAGUGAAGGUCGACCGUAGUCGUCGUCCGCGUUGGGAUCCCGUCCUUCGGGGCGGGCGCWCCWWCGGCCCGUCCGGUCCUGAUAUUAUCGGUCGG
rnacentral:rRNA from 1 species